rnacentral:rRNA from 1 species
UAACGAAUAUUGGGCAAUGGGGGAAACCCUGAACCAGCAACGCCGCGUGAAGGAAGAAGGCCUUCGGGUUGUAAACUUUUUUGACGAGGGACGAUAAUGACGGUACCUCGAAAACAAGCUCCGGCUAACUACGUGCCAGCAGCCGCGGUAAUACGGAGGAUGCAAGCGUUAUCCGGAUUCAUUGGGUUUAAAGGGUGCGUAGGCGGAAUAAUAAGUCAGUGGUGAAAGCCUGCGGCUUAACCGUAGAAAUGCCAUUGAUACUGUUAUUCUUGAGUAUAAUUGAGGUGGGCGGAAUGUGUAAUGUAGCGGUGAAAUGCUUAGAUAUUACACAGAACACCGAUUGCGAAGGCAGCUUACUGGGCCAUUACUGACGCUGAUGCACGAAAGCGUGGGGAGCGAACA